UUAAGUUCAGCGGGUAUUCCUACCUGAUCCGAGGUCAACCUUUGAUAAAUUGGGGGGUUUUACGGCGAGGCGCAUCCGCUAUCCAGCUGCGAGGCAUUGCUACUACGCAGAGGAGGUCGCGGGUGUGCCGCCACUGUAUUUCGGGGCCGGCCGGUGGGGGCCGAUCCCCAACACCAGGUCCCGCGGACGGGCCCUGAGGG
rnacentral:misc_RNA from 1 species